UCAGGUUUCAUCGUUCCUUCCAGCUCUAGGAUCCUCAUCAGAGCAAAAGAUCAAAAUUUUGCCGCAGUCUCCUCUUGUAUCUCUUCAAACGGUCGCAUCAGUAGCUGAGCCUAGCGAGGACGAAAGCCAGGAGAACCACAAGGUGUUGCCCUCGAGCGAUGGAAGCAUGAGGUGGAAGCUACCUGGACUUGGACUUAGCUUUCUAAGGAGUUCAUCUGAUGUAUAGAUGAUAUUACUGGCAUGAGCUGUAGAACUCCACGGAUUUUCUUUUGGAAAUGCUCAUCUGUAUUUCCAGCGAGAUAACAUUUGUAGCGACAACUUGGAUUUCACUUAUAGUUAUGUGUGGCCUUGUGUAAAUAGGUAUACUCGCAAUAGUUGUCUUGAUUAUACAUUUACACCAUAUGGUAGAAGAUGUAAUCUUUUUAUGCCAA